AUGAGGCCAUCCCAAGCUCUCUCGCUUCUCACACUCCUCAUGCUUCUUGCCUCGUCCACUGCUUCCGUCCUACAAGACACGUGCAAGCGCUUCGGCGGCGCUAACACCUACGACAUCUGCAUCGAGUUCUUCAAGGCCAACAGGGAUAGCGCCACUGCGGACAAGCGCGGGCUCGCCAUCAUCGCCACUGGGAUCGCCAGUGCAACGGCCAUGGACACCCGCAAGCGCAUCACCACCCUGAAGGCCGGGGAAAAGGAUCAGAUGAUCCAGCAGGUCAUCGCCUACUGCGACAAUAUGUACUCCGGGGCCGUGGGCCUGUUCGACAAGGCUGCCAAGGGCAUCUCGUCGGGCAACUUGGGAGACGCGGUGACAAGCCUCAGCUCCGCGCUGGACAUCCCCCAAUAUUGCGAUGACGAGUUCCUCAAGGCAGGCGUGAAAUCUCCGUUCGACGCCGAGAACUUCGAGUUUGGUGUGCAGUGCGCAAUCACUCUAGAUGUAACGAAGUUGUUGACGCUGUAG
rnacentral:rRNA from 1 species